UACGAAGGGGGCUAGCGUUGUUCGGAAUCACUGGGCGUAAAGGGCGCGUAGGCGGCGCGACAAGUCAGGCGUGAAAGCCCUGGGCUCAACCUAGGAAGUGCAUUCGAAACUUCGGAGCUGGAGUCCUGGAGAGGAAGGCGGAAUUCUCGGUGUAGAGGUGAAAUUCGUAGAUAUCGAGAGGAACACCGGUGGCGAAGGCAGCUCUCUGGGACGGUACUGACGCUGAGACGCGAAAGCGUGGGGAGCGAACAGG
rnacentral:rRNA from 1 species